rnacentral:lncRNA from 1 species
GUGGGGGGUCCCAAAAUGAGGUGAGAGGGCCCUAAAGUGAGGUAAAGGGGUCCUAAAACCAGGUGAGGGGGUCCCAAAAUGCGGAAAAAGGGUCCCAAAAUGUGGUAAUGGGGUCCCCAAAUGAGGGGAGGGGGUCCUGGGGUGGGUUUGGGGUAAAGGGGGCUCAAAGUGAGGUGAUGGGGUCCCAAAAUGAGGAAAAAGGGUCCCAAAAUGGGGUGAUGGGGUCCCAAAAAAAGGUAAUGGGGUCCUGGUGGGGAAUAAGGGGGUUGGGGGAGGUAAGGGGGCUGUUUUGGGGUAAAAAGGGCCCAAAAUGGGACAAUGGGGUCAUGAUACAUGAUAAUGGGGUUCUGAUAGGAGGUAACAGGGCCGUUUUGGGGUAAAAAGAGCCUAAUAUGGGAUAAGGGGAUCCUGAUAUGGGAUAACAAGGUCCCAAUAUGAGGUAACGGGGCUGUUUUGGGGUAAAAAGGGCGCAGUAUGGGACAACAGGGUUGUGAUAAGGGGUAAUGGGGUUCUGUUUUGAGGUAAUGAGGCCGUUUUGGGGUAAAAAGAGCCUAAUAUGGGAUAAGGGGAUCCUGAUAUGGGAUAAUGGGGCCGGUGUGAGGUAACGGGGUCCUGAUAUGAGGUAAUGGGGCUGUUUUGGGGUAAAAAGGGCCCAAUAUGGGACAAUGGGGUUGUGAUAAGUGAUAAUGGGGUUCUAUUAUGAGGUAACGGGGCCAUUUUGGGGUAAAAAGUGCCAAAUAUGGGACAAUGGGGUCGCAAUAAGCGAUAAUACGGUCCUGAUAUGAGGUCAUAGGGAUGUUUUGGGGUAAAAAGGGCCCAAUAUGGGACAACGGGGUUGCGAUAAGGGAUAAUGGGGUUCUGACAUGAGGUAACGGGGCUGUUUUGGGGUAAAAAGGGCCCAAUAUGGGAUAAGGGGAUCCUGCUACGGGAUAAUGGGGCCGGUGUGAGGUAAUGGGGUCCCGAUAUGAGGUAACAGGGCUGUUUUGGGGUAAAAAGUGCCAAAUAUGGGACAAUGGGGUCGCAAUAAGUGAUAAUAGGGUCCUGAUAUGAGGUCAUAGGGACGUUUUGGGGUAAAAAGGGCCCAAAAUGGGACAAUGGGGUCGCAAUAAGUGAUAAUGGGGUUCUGACAUGAGGUAAUGGGGCUGUUUUGGGGUAAAAAGUGCCCAAUAUGGGACACCGGGGUCCCUCUCCGAGCUAACCAUAACCCCGCUCCGAGCUAACAAGCCCCCAAAACGCCACAUUUUGGGGCCAAAACCCCCAAUUUUUGCCUUUCCCCCCCCUCCAGGAGCGCCCCCCGCCGACACCGUGGAAGUGGAGUGUGAGGAGGACGAGGAGGGCCCAGCACACACAGGUGGGUGCCGAGCUCCCCGGGGGGGGCAC